rnacentral:rRNA from 1 species
GCGGUUAUACAAAUAAUAUAAUUUAAUUUAAUCAGUAAUAAUUAAUUAAAAUUUUAAAUUAAAAUUUGUAAGGUGAAAUUUUAAAUUUUAAUAAAGUUUAGUUUUUAUAAUGAAGUUAAAAAAUUUAAUAAAUAAACUAGGAUUAGAUACCCUAUUAUUUUAAAUGUAAUUUUAAGUACUAAAUUAGUAAUAGUUGUGUUCUUGAAAAUUAAAAAAUUUGGCGGUAUCUUAGUCUAUUCAGAGGAACCUGUUCUAUAAUUGAUAAUCCACGAUUUAAUUUACUUUUUUUAUUAGUUUGUAUAUCGUCGUAAUGGAAUAUUUUAUGAGAAUUAUUAUAUUCAAGAUUUCAAAUAAGAAAAUAAAUCAGAUCAAGGUGCAGUUUAUAAAAAAGAAGAAAUGGGUUACAAUAAAUUUAAUUUGCAAUUAUUAUUUUUAAAAUAAUAUGAAUAUGGAUUUGAAAGUAAAUUUAAUUAAUUAAUUAAAUUGAUUUAGCUCUAAGAUAUG